rnacentral:lncRNA from 1 species
AGUGGGACGUGCCCAGCUGCACGGCUGGGCUGGUGCCGCCGCCUGGGCGCCUCGGGGUGCGGAGCAGGCGUUACUGCGAGAGCUUGUGUGGCAGGAGAGCAGCGGGGUGCAGAGUCCAGCCGAGGCGUGGGGCUAACUGAACCCCCGCGCUGUUUGCCCAGGCAGCUCCAGGAGCUCUACCGCCUUGCAUGGAAACCGGGCUAUUUGCAAAGGGGCCUUCGCUCCAUGCAGAGGCCAGGAGCCCGGAAGACAUGCGUGGUACACACUGAGGGGACGUGCAGCGCAGGGUCUAGACAAACCCAAGGUGGCGAUACAGCAAAUUGAACACCAUGACAUGUUGAAACCUGGCUGGUUUUAUGAGGAAAACCAACUCAAAGCUGAUCCCACCCCCAAGAUGAGAAAAGACAUGAAGCUAUGACAUGCACAGGGUCAUUUUGGGGGUUCAAUUCUGAAGUUCUUGCUAAGACUGUACUCCCAAUGAACUCCAUUGGGUUUUAUCUGCAGAAGCAGGCAGUGUGUUCUGAAGAAAAGAUCAGGAGACUGAGCAUCAGGACAUUCUGAAUUCAAAUGGGAUGUUUUUCUGAAAGAUCUGUUCUAGGAAUUAUUUUGAAGAAAUUCCGUGGCCUGUGUGAUGCAGGAGGUCCAGAUGAGAUGAUCACAAUGGUUUGUUCUGGCCUAGGAAUCUAUUAAUCUACAUCCUAGUUUACCCAUUAAUUUGUUCUGCACCCUGGGAUGAAUUCCUUCAUCUUUCUGCCUCAGUUUCUCCAUCUGUAAAAUGAAGAUAAUAUUUGUAAUGGGCUGGAUCAUAGGAACCCCCUUGGGAACUGCCAAGUGACGUGCCAAGACUACUACUGUCCCUGCUUUCCCUGCCAGCUCAGGACCCCAGCAUCCUGUCUUGCUGAGCUAGACACUCCCGUCUGCUCCAACACAGAUUCAGCAUCUGAAUUACUUGCCCCAGAGCUGCAGGUUUAUCUGAAAGCAGUUUACAGAAGUAUGCUUGUUUUAACACUCAGAUGCCCAACGCCAAACAGAGUCUAAACCCAAAUAAAUCUAUUUUACUCUAUAUAAAGCUUAUACA